rnacentral:rRNA from 1 species
AUUGAACGCUGGCGGCAGGCCUAACACAUGCAAGUCGAACGAGUGGCGGACGGGUGAGUAAUGUAUGGGAAAGUGCCUGAUGGAGGGGGAUAACUACUGGAAACGGUAGCUAAUACCGCAUACUAUCGGAUGUGCCCAGAUGGGAUUAGCUAGUAGGUGGGGUAAAGGCUCACCUAGGCGACGAUCCCUAGCUGGUCUGAGAGGAUGACCAGCCACACUGGAACUGAGACACGGUCCAGACUCCUACGGUAGGCAGCAGUGGGGAAUAUUGGACAAUGGGCGCAAGCCUGAUCCAGCCAUGCCGCGUGUAUGAAGAAGGCCUUCGGGUUGUAAAGUACUUUCAGCUGGGAGGCGUUACCCGCAGAAGAAGCACCGGCUAACUCCGUGCCAGCAGCCGCGGUAAUUC